CAGCAGACUCCAGGGUCUGGAGCACACACGCUCACAGAGGCCACCAACAUGACCUCAUACACAGAGGCUGCCAGAGGUGGAGCAAUGUCCCCAGCUAAAGCACCGUCCACAGCUAUAUAGCAAUGAAUUUGCCUUUUGAAAGUAUGCACAUAGCAACCUCACAUUGUGCAGAGCCUUGGUGUUUAUCUACAAUCUGGCCAUGUUGGAAUUUCAAUGAAGAUAUCUUCCAGGAUAAAUGUUUGCUAGGGAGGUGGAAGGGCAAAGACUGCUCCAGCAGUCCAGCUACAAGGAUAUUCACCUUGAAGUGUCCUUGUCAUGCCUAUUCUUGCAGAAGCCAAAGUCUCUUCCCCAGACUUAGCUGCAACUUCCAGGCCAACCAAAGUCAAUGGGAUCUCCAUGGUGGCUCAGAAACAACCCUUCAGUGA
rnacentral:lncRNA from 1 species